rnacentral:tRNA from 1 species
GGUAAGGUGGUCUGAGAGUUAAGCGGUGGAUUGUAACCCCAUGAACAGAGGUUUAAACCCUCUCCUUAUCAA